UUCCUCUCCUCAAAGAAACAACCACAGCGCAGGACUGUCUAACAAAAGGUGAGUAAAUUCUCCAAAAUAAAUAUACAGAUUUACUAUUCGUACACAAAUUUCUGUACUGACACGCUUAACUGUAUGUUUUUAUAUUUAAAUGUUUGUUGUUUACCAUUUUAACCGCUAAUUUAAUAGCCGCGAUGCUAGCUAUCAUAAUGAACUUCGUGGGACGAAAUGGAGAGUAUUAAAUCACAAACGGCGAUUUUUAGUCAGCUUUGUUCAUUAUAUUCACUUUUAGUCAUUGUAACUCUGUUCUUUUCUGAACUAAUUUGUUGUCGUUUACGUUUGUUAAUCGUUACCCAUCCAUGUUACAUGUAGACUAUCUAAUAGCUUAUUUUUCGAUUCAUUUAACUUACAGAAAAAAACAGUUUUUGUCCUUUUCUCUCCUCAGAACCUAUACAUUUAACAGGGUUCACUGAGCAGCACUAAUGUAAGUAGACCUAUUUUUUAUUUUUUUUACUUUGAAAUAACUGAAAUAGUGUUUCAGAGUGAGGCCUAACAUUAAUCCAAAAUUAUAUAUGAAUCCAGUCUUAUAUACAAUAUUAAUGUUACACUGAAUUGAAUUAAAGAGUUUAUAAUUUAUGUUUUCUUUUGUUUUUGUUUUUUUAGCAGUUAAUGAAGACGUUGUAUGUUUCAUGAAUAUGGCUCUGUAGUGGACUGGUGGAGCUGCUGAUGUCUGUUGCUGGCUGACAAUAAAGUGAUCUCUUUGGACUUACCUCAUCUUUUGAAGAAAUCCGAGCCUUGCUCCUGAUCCUGCUGUGCUGGACGGUAUAUGAUUAAUUGAGAAUCUUACACUAACUGUGGUAAUGGAGACCCAUUUGGUGAGAGCAGCACUGCAGAUUUUCCUGAUGGUGAGGAGCUACUUGCUGACGAACCUACCAACAUGAUUUCACCUUAUAAGUGCCUUUGUUCUAUUCAACAUUAUACAGAAAAGCUGUUAAACGUACAGCAAAGUGUACUAUUUUUCUGCUGCAUUUGUUGGGUAUUCAAGAGGAGAUCAUCAAGCUACCUACAGCUGUCUUGAGGCUUAUCAAUUUCUUAAAAUUUCCUGUGUGAAUUUUCCCAAUCUGUGACCUCCAUUUAGAACAAGAAAGAAUGUUAUCGUUGACUGCGAUGUACAUUAAAUUUGCUCAUUUGAAUUGUACUAUUUUUGAAGUAUGAUUGUUUUAAAGUUCUAAGAUAUUUGAGUCACAUUUAUUUGUUUAUGGUUUUGUCAAGGUGUAAGUUUUAUUUAUUUUUUAUUUAUAACAAUAUUAACACUGGUGUUCCCAUGAAUUUGAUUGUGAUGUGCAGUAUUGAUUAUUUAUUUGAAACUUCUAUGGAUGUUGUUGUUAAUCAAUAAACAAUGUUUGAUAUGUAUUCAUUUUAGUUUUUCUGUUUGUUUAUUAAAAUAAUUAAAUGUCAAUAGCAGGAACAAUAAACUAGAGGGAGGGAGAGGGGAACAAAUAUUAAAGAACUGAAAUUGAGAAAUGGUGCCUCGAAGCACCAAGGUGGUUCCUGACCAUUCUUAAUAAAAGGGUUCCUCCAGGAACCGUUAAAAGUUCCUCAGAGAACCACCCCUUUUUAAAGGGUGCCUAGAGGCUCUACAGAGGGUUCCGCCACAGUGGCGAAGUGAAGAACCCCAAAAGGUGCCUCCAGGAACCUUUAGU